UGGCCCGGCAACGAUUCGGGACGGGUAGACCUCUUACGACUUGUUCGCUUCGUCAACAAGAAUCUAUAAACAACAUUAAUAACAUCGAUAGAGCGAACCCAAUGUUGCUGCUGAGACAUUUAGUCCCUUGCCAGCAGACUUUCUUCCGUUCGCUAAUCAAUUCCAAUUAGUUGGAAGGUAGAGGAAACCGGAGUACCGACUACUGCCACUGUCGUGCAGUCACUAAUUAGUAUGUUUACCUGUCUAAAUGGGUGCAUGUGUAUUUCAAAUCGUGGCUUAUCUCGCGUUCGGUUUAUUGGAUCAGUGAGAUGGUGGGUCUGCGAUGUCUGUGCUUCUUAUGGAUGAAGAAACGCGCAAGACGUGACGUUUGUUGCAAUGGUCACGGACAGCGUUGCGACGAUCGAAGUGUUAUCUUGCAGGUGACAGUCGUCACCUCUUAUCGUCACUCACUAUUAUGGCAAACUUUGUUUAAUAAUGUUUAUAUCGGAUCCAGCGGCUUCAGUCCUUCGUAAGCGGAUAGUUACAACGUGACAGGAAAGGUCGUUGCAUCGUAGUAUCGGACACCGCUUGCAUGUUUGUUUGCCCUAGUUAGUUUGUGCAGACUGCAAAAUUCUACCUUGAGAGUACUGCUCAAAACCAUCAACAGCUUUUGGUCUGUGUCUAACAGCCUGGAUAAAGCGGAACCCACUGAUCAAUCCUGAUGACUGUAGUUCUGUUUAAACGACAACUGAAUGAUGACUAGUUCGCCGUAGCUGGAUACGAUCGAUUUCCAUAUCGGUUACAAUGGUCUUUAAAUA